rnacentral:rRNA from 1 species
UACGUAGGGUGCUAGCGUUGUUCGGAAUUAUUGGGCGUAAAGCGCGUGUAGGUGGCUUGUUAAGUCGGUUGUGAAAUCCCUGGGCUCAACCCAGGAAGUGCAUCCGAAACUAGCUCGCUAGAGGACAGCAGAGGGAGGUGGAAUUCCUAGUGUAGAGGUGAAAUUCGUAGAUAUUAGGAGGAAUACCGGUGGCGAAGGCGGCCUCCUGGACUGUUCCUGACACUGAGACGCGAAAGCGUGGGUAGCAAAC